UUAGAGGUAUCCCGCACGCGGGGCCAAGAGAAUGGUGAAAGAGAGAUCUUUCAAAUAAAACAAAAAAACCCACCCAAACAAAGCAGGCCCGCCGCUUCUGUCUUCUCUCCCCCAACUCCUUUCACGACCACACCAAGCCGCUGCCGCCGACCACCGUCGUCUCGCCCAACCCCGGCCUCCACUCCGCCGCCGUCGGCCCCUCCCCCGCUCACGCUGGACGCAGAUGCGCUUGAGCUGCUCAACCCACGGCCAGAUUCGCUCUCCCUCCGUCCCUGCCCGCGCCGGAAACCCUAGCCGCCGGCCGUGGCGACCGACCGCAGGGCGCAGGCACAUGGCUCAGCUCAAUGACAUUGCUUGGUAGGCGCCAUGGAGUGGAGCUUCCUCUGCUCGGGACGCCAUGGAUCUUGUGCUCGUCAAGGUCCUUCUUCCUCCAGCACGAGGACAAGCAGCAGCAGCAGCAUCAAGGUGGACAAAAAGGACCUCGUCUCCGCUCCAUGGCAGUUGCUCGCCGCCCGACCGGCCGUCCAUGCUGCCAAAGAUCACCGGCGUCAGCAGGGCCACCAACAACAUCGUAUUCCGCUUCUUCCUGUCCUCCGGCAUCCUCGUCCGCUACUGAAGAAGGUGGAACCAAGGAAUCAGGCCUGUGCUCCUCGUUGUCCUCGACCACCAAGGAUGCAGGCCCCCAGCCUUGGUUCUUCUGCGACUACCGCACCAACCUCGGCGCCCAACCCCCUAGAGCCACCGACAGUCCCGACUCCCAAGAGGCAAGCGCUUUAGUACAUGGUGUGAUGACUUGUGCUCCCAUGGCUCCAUCCUAGGCUACAACUACAUUAGGUGCCCACCAGUUCAAUGGAUGACAUCGACGACCGGGACAUGUGCCCAAGCUGACAAGGACAUCGUCGAGUCCGACAACAAUCUCUACUAUGAGCUCGUCCACCACGACUCCCCACAGAAGACUUCUUUUACCUGCAGAGGCAAGCGAUGUGCUUCAGUACAUGGUGUGAUGACUUGUGCUCCCAUGGCUGCCUCCUAGGCUACAACAACAUUAGAGAGGUUACUUGCAGCGAACAAGCCAACAUCUUCGAAGCAUAGGCUUUUUGCCACUGCAACGCCAACCCAAGGGCUUCAAAACGGUGGUUUUGGCCUUUUGCCCGUGGGAACGUCUCAGGACAGAUGCAACAUGCACUACUAGAAUUUGGCAUUUUGACGUCUGCCAACUCUUUGCCGUCUGCCAGCUGACGGCAAAGAGCCUCUUUGUCGUCCGCUUCCACAAAGCGAACGGUAAAGAAAGUGCAGAUGGCAAAAAGAAUAUUUGCCGUCAGCUGCUUUUUUGCUGUCAGCCAGCUGACGACAAAGACCUAGAAGGCAGAUGGCAAAGAGCUAGGUGGGCCCCACAGGGCACAGCGUGGGUCAGAUUCUUUGUCGUCCGCCUAGUUUUUUCCGUCUGCCUUCUGGACAAAUGGCCUAGUUAACGGCCGUCUCCCCCUCCUAUGCGUGCUCUCUGUCUUUUCGGCCCUACCCCUCUCGCUCCGCCCUCUCUCUCUCACCCCCGUCCCCAACGCGCCCGCGCCCGCACCACCGCCCCACCCCGCCGCAGCACCACCCCGACGCCCCGGAGCCUUGCGGCCCCGUCGCCACCAUUGCCCGGCGCCCCCUCCGCCCGGCCAGCGCCACCCCACCGUCGCCCCUCAUGCUGCCGCCGCCCCACCCCGCCGCCCCGGAGCCCUGCGGCCCUGUCGCCACCACCGCCCGGCGCCCCCUCCACCCGGCCAGCGCCACCCCGCCGCCUCGGAGCCCUGUGGCCCCGUUGCCACCAUCGCCCGGCGCCCCCUCCGCCCGGCCAAUGUCCCUCCGCCGCCGAGCAACCCCACCGCCCGGCGCCCCUGGGCGUGCCGCAGGCCGUCCCACCCCUGCCGCAGGUGAGGCCCGGCCGCACCCCUUUAUUUCUCUUUUUUUUUGUUUUUUUUCUUCUGUUUUUUAGUUUUGUUUUAGAUUUAGUUUAGAUUACUGUUAGUUUGGUUUUAUAUUUAGUUUAGUUUAGAUUACUUUUAGU